AAAAAAAAAAAAGGAUCAGGUUUUGCUAAAAGCAGACAACAAUGGCAGCCCAUGAAGUGUUAGAGAGGCAAUCGUUUCCCUGAAUAUUCCCAUUCAGAGCACCAACUGGAUACCCUGCUGGCGGGUCUCUGUCUCUGUCCGUGUCAGGAACCUUCCGGAGGAGGCUGGCAGGUGCCGGCUGUUCAUGCUGUCUGAACUGGAAGCUCUUACCUGGGCUGGGAGCCCAUCAGGAGUAUGACAGCAAAGUCGGUGCAGUUCAGGCUUUGACUUCUCCUUUUAUCACCAAGAUUUUUUGGCAGAACAUAGAAGGAAUUCCAGCCCACAGGGAGUUGCCCCAGAAAUUAGAUUCAAGAGACAUGUUCAAACCAAUCUGCAGCAUAUAAAUUUAUAUGAAGAAACUGAUCUUCCCAGAAACAAGGAGGUUCAUGUCAUCCCACCAGGGCUUCGACUUGCUGCAUUGAAUAACCAGGAACUGACUUUCUGGUUAUGGCUGGAUAAAAGCACUGGGUGAUGGAUGGGGUCAGGGAUGUUUCACAACAGCCACUCAGGAGACCUGGGAACAAAACCAGUCACUUACCGGAGAGGCCGUUCAUGGACCAGUUGCUCAUGUUCCCAGAUCCAGUGACCCUUCUCCUGGAUGUUGCUGAUUUUUAGAAGAAAAGCCAGUGGGCUCCCAGACAAAGUUAAAAAAGAAAAGCUCUCGUCACCAUUCCUGUAUAUUAGCAUAUUUUACAGAAGGACACUGAGCUGUGGAGGGGUUUUGGUAGCAGCAAUUAUUUUUCAAACUGGGAAGAUAUGAAUGAUAAAGGGACUGUGUCAGCUGCGGGGCUGUAGAUUCCAUGCCUUUUCCUAAACACUAUGAUUCAACCCUCCCACUGGAGUCUGCCUGGUGG
rnacentral:lncRNA from 1 species